GACUACAAUUUGUGGCCAUUGAUUGUUUUUGAUAUUGUGGCAUAAGAUCAAUCUACUCUCUCUCUCUCUCUCUCUCUCUCACGAUUCAAUUCCUUGAAUCGUGAAACCGAAAAUCACACAGUCUUCAGAUCUACACACAGAGCUUGACUGGAUUCAACCCCUUGUCUCUCUCACUCGGCCAUGAUGAAAGCUUCGACAAGGCUUGACUCUAGUCAGACGGCUGUCCUUCAUAAGCAGAGGAGAAGAAGAGGCUCGCCGGAGAUGAAUAAAGGGAAAGUCUCGGCCUCUCUUUGCCAUGAAGGUGGGUCGUGAGCAGAGUUGGUUGUCGUGAGCUUGAAGGCGGCGGUGACAAGGCGGGGCAAGGCGGCGGCGGCAGCGAAUCCCUCGUUUCUGGUUUGAUUGUUUUGUCUCUGAAGUUAACAGUUUGGUAGACUGAAAAAGUGAAAGUCACAUUCUUUUCUCUAAAUGUUUCACUUAGGGACUAUUGAUUCAGUUGCUCCAAGAGAGCUGAUGCAACUGCAGAUUUGAGUGGUGCUAUUGAGGCAGGAAACAAGGAGGACUCUGAGAAGUACAGCAAACGAACUGUGAUGGUAGUACUCUUAGUUAUUAUAUCAUCCACUUCAGAGCAGCUCGGUGACAAUCGCAUAACAAUCUUCACUCUGCGAUUGCUGUAACAGACUCAGAGUUUCUCUUUCAGCAGCUUCAUUCUACUCCUUUCUUCUCAGACGGCAGGUCUUGGGAGUCUCAGUUUGGUGAUUUCUUCUUUGAAUUGGUGUUCGUCUCUUCUCACCUCUCAUGCGGACACUGGAGGGUCUCUUUGUGGGAAGUUUCUCUUGCCGAGAUUCCAGCGAUCUUAGGAUUGUGUUGUAGGUUGAAGAUGAAGUCCCUAAACUUAGUAAUUGUUUUGGUUUGUGUAGCUGUUCAAUUGUUGUGUGUUUGAGUGUAAGAUUAAAAGAUAAAAAUGAUAAUCAAAGUUUUGAUAUGAAAUA